AUUUCAUAAAAUAUUGUUGCUCAUAUAAUAGUGGGGAUAUGGCCUACGAGUUUCUACCAGAUUACCGUAAAUGAUCUGACUAUGAGUAUUGCUUUUGUUCAU
rnacentral:ncRNA from 2 species